GACGAACGCUGGCGGCGUGCCUAAUACAUGCAAGUAGAACGCACAGUUUAUACCGUAGCUUGCUACACCAUAGACUGUGAGUUGCGAACGGGUGAGUAACGCGUAGGUAACCUGCCUGGUAGCGGGGGAUAACUAUUGGAAACGAUAGCUAAUACCGCAUAAUAUUAAUUAUUGCAUGAUAAUUAAUUGAAAGGUGCAAUUGCACCACUACCAGAUGGACCUGCGUUGUAUUAGCUAGUAGGUGAGGUAACGGCUCACCUAGGCGACGAUACAUAGCCGACCUGAGAGGGUGAUCGGCCACACUGGGACUGAGACACGGCUCAGACUCCUACGGGAGGCAGCAGUAGGGAAUCUUCGGCAAUGGACGAAAGUCUGACCGAGCAACGCCGCGUGAGUGAAGAAGGGUUUCGGAUCGUAAAGCUCUGUUGUAAGAGAAGAACGGGUGUGAGAGUGGAAAGUUCACACUGUGACGGUAUCUUACCAGAAAGGGACGGCUAACUACGUG
rnacentral:rRNA from 1 species